rnacentral:rRNA from 1 species
AGCAUUUCAGUUUGCUUGCAAACUGGAGAUGGCGACCGGCGCACGGGUGAGUAACACGUAUCCAACCUGCCGAUGACUCGGGGAUAGCCUUUCGAAAGAAAGAUUAAUACCCGAUGGCAUAGUUCUUCCGCAUGGUAGAACUAUUAAAGAAUUUCGGUCAUCGAUGGGGAUGCGUUCCAUUAGCCAGUUGGCGGGGUAACAGCCCACCAAAGGACGAUGGAUAGGGGUUCUGAGAGGAAGGUCCCCACAUUGGAACUGAGACACGGUCCAAACUCC